GGCUGACAUUAUUAUUGGACACUUAUGUAUCAGACAUGAAACGACUCCAGUAAACCCUGGUGUUGGCCAGUGCUGCACUUCUUCAUAUGCCAACAGGAGGCCAUGCUUCAGCAGUUUGGUGGUGGAUGAAACAUAUGUCCCUCCUGCAUUCUCUGAUGACAAGUUCAUUUUCCAUAAGGAUCUGUGCCAAGCUCAGGGUGUAGCGCUGCAAACGAUGAAGCAAGAAUUUCUCAUUAACCUUGUGAAGCAAAAGCCACAAAUAACAGAGGAACAACUUGAGGCUGUCAUUGCAGAUUUCUCAGGCCUGUUGGAGAAAUGCUGCCAAGGCCAGGAACAGGAAGUCUGCUUUGCUGAAGAGGGACAAAAACUGAUUUCAAAAACUCGUGCUGCUUUGGGAGUUUAAAUUACUUCAGGUAACAAAACAUUCAGACAAGCCUGAAUGCAAUGUUGUUUCUCCGGAAAUAUCAAUCCAUAAUGAGAUAGAUCAUGAAGAGUGCCAUUAAUUCUCUUAAAAAUAAAUGGAAUUCAAAAAAAAGUUUAUUUUAUAAACACUUGAACAAAAUUAUACUCACAACGUUAAAUUAGUGGCUCAACUAUGAAAAUCCUUUUUGAUUAUUUAAAAGGCUUCAACAAAUGCUAUUAGAAGACUUUCCCAUGUAUCCAAUGUUACUCUGAUAUAAAAUAAUAGAACC
rnacentral:sRNA from 1 species